GUCGACUGGUUGAUGCACGUCAAAUAACAAUACAAAGCCCACUGACACAAGUGAGAUUUUUACCGUAACUUUCCUUACGACAGCCAAGUCUGCUAACCACUGAGCUACCCGAAGCAGUCAGACCGAGGAGUUUGAUAGAGUAGAUAGCCGGUACAAGGUCGGCCUGACAGGUUGAAUGGUGGGCGAGACGUUCACAAUGUGUCAACCAGCAGCUCCUGGAGAUAUCCCGUAAAAACAUCAACAUCUUCGCACACGAAAAGAAGAAGUCGCUUGGGAAGUAAGUUAGCGGACAUGGAUAUCAUACGAUUUUAACCAAGAAAGUGCAAGAAAACGGAGAAGCAGAAAAAUCACGUUAAAGUAACAUUGAGAGAAUUCCACCCAACGUCAAAAAGGUAAUAUCGCGCUUCGGUAAUGGAUCUUGUCAAUCUAAAAAUAAUUUGGAUGUGUUUUUGAAGGAUUGCCAAAAGUACGUUAUGAGAAUUAGAAUUCAAAAUUUGUUAAGUUAACUUAAUAAAAAAUGCUUGUCUUUCAUUUAAAAAAUUAAUAUAUUUCCGCAUAAAAGCCAAAAAAUAAUUGAAAAUCUGUUAGUAAACAGAGUAUUUUUUAUUACAAUAUUCUAACGCCACGCUAUUAUCAAAAUUUAAAGUAAU